ACAGCAGUCGCCGCGGUAAUACGGAGGGUGCAAGCGUUAAUCGGAAUUACUGGGCGUAAAGCGCACGCAGGCGGUCUGUCAAGUCAGAUGUGAAAUCCCCGGGCUUAACCUGGGAACUGCAUUUGAAACUGGCAGGCUAGAGUCUUGUAGAGGGGGGUAGAAUUCCAGGUGUAGCGGUGAAAUGCGUAGAGAUCUGGAGGAAUACCGGUGGCGAAGGCGGCCCCCUGGACAAAGACUGACGCUCAGGUGCGAAAGCGUGGGGAGCAAACAGGAUUAGAUACCCGGGUAGUCCCUGUCUCUUAUAC
rnacentral:rRNA from 1 species